AGUAACCACCCAGUUUCUCCCAGUCCAUCCCAGUCCCCACGAAUCCCCUCCCAGUUCUCUCUGUGCAUCCCAGUCCCUCCCAGUGCACUUCCAGUUACUCCCAGUCUCCUCCCAGUGCCCACCAAUUGCCACCCAGUAACUUCCCAGUAUGUCCCAGUACAUUCAAGUCCCUCCCACUCCUCUUCAGUCCACACAAACCAAUUCCCAGUCCCUGCCAGUCACAUCCCAGUGCUCCCAGUAUCCCCUCUAGUCUCUUCCAGUUUCUCUCAGUCCAUCCCAGUCUCCUCCCAGUAGCUCCCAGUAUAUUCCAGUCCCUCCCAGUCCCCUCCAUGCCCACAAACCCCUUCCCAGUCCAUCCCAGUUGCCACCAGCACCUCCCAAUACCCCCAGUAUCUUCCCAGUUUGUUGCUGUUCCCUUCCCAGAACACCCUGUUCAUCCUAGUCCAUCCCAGUGCUCCCAGUCCAUUCCAGUCCCCACCAAUCCCUCCCAGUUUUCCCCCAGUGCUUCCCAGUCCCUCUCAGUUCCCUCCCAGUACCCUCCACUGCUCCCAGUUUCUCUAAACCCCUUCCAGUAUCUCGCAGUGCCUCCCAGUCCUCCCCAAUCUCCUCCCUGUCCUUCCAAGUCUGGACCAAUUCCCUUCCAGUUUGUCCUAGUGAUCCCAGUUUCCCCUCCUGGUUUGUUCCAGUGUUCCCAGCUUUCCCUCCCAGACCCUCCCAGUUCCCUUCCAGUUACUCCCAGUCUCCUCCCGGUGGCCCCCAGUACCCCAAAGUGUCCACCAGUUGUAGGAAUGUGCCCCCUGUGGACAGAGUGACAGAACUAUCCUCUGUUCCCCAAAAGGAAAAAGCCCAGAAUUUUCUACACUGAUCAGGUCCUCAUAGGACCUUUUGAACUUCACCUCAAGUUUGGGGACAGCUAAUUGGCCACAAGCCAAAAGGUCCUGCCUGACCCAUUUAGUAGAAAAAGAGAGAACAAAGAAGCCAAAUCGCUUUUGUGAGGUGUCUUUACCAGGAGCACGGACCUGUGAACCUGGCUCGGUUUUGUGUUUGUUAUUUUGCCUUUUAUUAAACCUUUUUUGUUCCUGACGCUGCCACAUCAGCCUCCUGCUCAUUGAUGCCUCCCAAUGGAUGCUGUGCUAUUCUGGGGUAUAACGUUUGGGUGUUGAGAGCUUAUCAGAUUGGCUCAAAACCCCGGGCAAAAACAUUAUAGUCAGUAACUUCUCAGUUCCUCCCAAUACAUCCCAGUCCCAUUCAGUGCCCACAAACUCCUUCUCAGUAUGUCCCAGUUGCCACUAGUCCCUCCCAGCCACAUCCCAGUCCCUCCCAGUUAGUCCCAGUCUCCUCCCAGUGACCCCUAGUGCCCAUCAGUAGCUGCCCAGAAGCUUCCCACUCCCUUCCAGUCCCUCCCAGUGCUCCCAGUCCAUCCCAGUUCCCUGUCCCAGCAUGGGCAACUAAGCUCCACCCCCCAGACUCUGCCUGGUACCAGCAGCGGGAGGAGAAACUGAGGCAGUACUGGGAGGCCAUGGACACCUUACUGGGGGGAGUGCCACCCACCCAAGUGCUGUCCCUGACUAGCAUCAGCCUGGCGGCCAUUCCCAAUGUGGACACCUGCUGGAACCUGUGUGGACUGGGAGCACUGGGAGGGGAUUAGUGUAUAUUGCCAAUCCCUGCCUCACACACAAGGUGACCACCAACCCACUCUCCGGCCAUCCGACCUGCAGCUGAACCUUCCCAGAAUGCCUUUUGGUGAACAGAAGUGAACAGGAUUGAACAAAGGUAAAAA